AGUGAACGCUGGCGGUAGGCCUAACACAUGCAAGUCGAACGGCAGCACAGUAAGAGCUUGCUCUUACGGGUGGCGAGUGGCGGACGGGUGAGGAAUACAUCGGAAUCUACUUUUUCGUGGGGGAUAACGUAGGGAAACUUACGCUAAUACCGCAUACGUCCUACGGGUGAAAGCAGGGGAUCUUCGGACCUUGCGCGAUUGAAUGAGACGAUGUCGGAUUAGCUAGUUGGCGGGGUAAAGGCCCACCAAGGCGACGAUCCGUAGCUGGUCUGAGAGGAUGAUCAGCCACACUGGAACUGAGACACGGUCCAGACUCCUACGGGAGGCAGCAGUAGGGAAUAUUGGACAAUGGGCGCAAGCCUGAUCCAGCCAUACCGCGUGAGUGAAGAAGGCCUUCGGGUUGUAAAGCCCUUUUGUUGGGAAAGAAAAGCAGCAGGUUAAUAUCCCGCUGUUCUGACGGUACCCAAAGAAUAAGCACCGGCUAACUUCGUG
rnacentral:rRNA from 1 species